UAUUGGACAAUGGGGGGAAACCUGUCCCAGCGACGCCGCGUGAGUGAAGAAGUAUUUCGGUAUGUAAAGCUCUAACAGCAGGGAAGAAAGAAAUGACGGUACCUGACUAAGAAGCCCCGGCUAACUACGUGCCAGCAGCCGCGGUAAUACGUAGGGGGCAAGCGUUAUCCGGAUUUACUGGGGGUAAAGGGAGCGUAGACGGCGAUGCAAGUCUGAAGUGAAAGGCGGGGGCCCAACCCCCGGACUGCUUUGGAAACUGUAUGGCUGGAGUGCAGGAGAGGUAAGUGGAAUUCCUAGGGUAGCGGUGAAAUGCGUAGAUAUUAGGAGGAACACAAGUGGCGAAGGCGGCUUACUGGACUGUAACUGACGUUGAGGCUCGAAAGCGUGGGGAGCAA
rnacentral:rRNA from 1 species